AGUUUUAUAGUUUAAAUAAAAUAUUAAAUUGCAAAUUUAAAGAUAAAAAUAUUAUUUUUAAAACUU
rnacentral:tRNA from 1 species